rnacentral:hammerhead_ribozyme from 1 species
AUCCAGCUGACGAGUCCUAAAUAGAACGAAACGAACGUUCUUGAAU